GAUAAACGCUGGCGGUGUGCUUAAGGCAUGCAAGUCGAACGGGCUCCGCAAGGAGCCAGUGGCAAACGGGUGAGUAACGCGUAAGCAACCUGCCCUCAAGUGGGGAACAACUCCUAGAAAUGGGAGCUAAUACCGCAUGUGGUAGUGGGGCAAAAGUUCCACUACUGAAGCCGCAAGGCGCUAGAGGAGGGGCUUGCGUCCGAUUAGCUAGUUGGUGAGGUAACGGCCCACCAAGGCGACGAUCGGUAGCUGGUUUGAGAGGACGACCAGCCACACGGGGACUGAGACACGGCCCCGACUCCUACGGGAGGCAGCAGCCAGGAAUAUUGGGCAAUGGGCGAAAGCCUGACCCAGCGACACCGCGUGGGGGAAGAAGACCCUCGGGUUGUAAACCCCUUUUAUCGGGGACGAAUUAUGACGGUACCCGGUGAAUAAGCUUCGGCAAACUACGUGCCAGCAGCCGCCGUAACAC
rnacentral:rRNA from 1 species